CGGGAAAGUCGGGGGUUGGGGGCCAGGGAGGCUCGGCGGCGAUCCGUACGCAUGCGCACCCCGCCGGUUCACUGUGCCCGCCUCCUGGCGCCCUAGCAACCGGGUUGUGAACCACCCUUUAUCCCGACUAAGUGGCCAUCCUGGGAGUUCUAGUGCCACUAGCCGGCUUCGGCUCUUCCCUGUCUGAGGGUCUUGUCAUUUCCGCUUCUUUCCUCCACGGGUGCCGAUUUCAUGUGUGUGUCCCCGAGUACCUGAGUCGGCUCCUAAAAUGAGUAUUAGUGUUUUCCGCGUGGGAACCAACUUCGGGCGCCAGUGGCCCGGCCUCCCUGGGCUGAGGUGGCUGCUGGGGCUGGGGCUGCUCCUGAGGCUUCAGGCUGUGUGCUGCACGGCUUUCUACCUCCCCGGGUUAGCCGCGGUCAACUUGUGCCAGGCGGAGCGAGAAAUCGCAUUUUGUCAGGUUUCUUUUAACAAAACAGAAAUGUGUAAAAGUUUGUGUAAAAUCUUAAAUGGAGACCAAAUGAACAAGCUGGCUUUUCUGAAGAAAGGAAUACGACUGAAUUACCAGCAUCACUGGUCAGGGAGGAAAUUGAAACGCUAAACAUUAAGAAGAUAGAAGAAAACCUGGAAUGAGGACACAAGCUGUAAGCAUUCAGAUGAAAACCACCUCACUUGUAUUGGACCCCUUAUGUAAAUUCCCAGAGAAUAUACAGAUAAGUUGAAUGUGACUUACACUUAUUCUGUGAGAUUGAAGUAAGUACUUCGUGCCAUCAUCUUAAUCUUUUUAUAAAUAUCAUGUACUUAAUAUUAAAGCCUAAAUUUUCCUUAAUAUAAAGGUGUAUAACACAGCUAAGAACCCAAGAAAACAGGUAAAUUCUUCCUGUUCCAACAAUUUAAUGGACAGUCAGUACAGGAAUUACUGUAUUAAAUCUACUACAUUUCGGAUACUGUGCCAGCUAUUAUACUUUCUCUUACUUCAUGUUAAAGGUUUCAGGUUUGAAACAGGUACAUGGGGAACUGGAGGGGCAUCUUCUGGGGUUGGCAGGCUGGCUGGCUGCUCAAGCGGGA
rnacentral:lncRNA from 1 species